UACGUAGGGGCAAGCGUUGUCCGGAAUCAUUGGGCGUAAAGAGCGUGUAGGCGGCCCGAUAAGUCCGCUGUGAAAGUCCAGGGCUCAACCCUGGAAUGCCGGUGGAUACUGUCGGGCUCGAAUCCGGAAGAGGUGAGUGGAAUUCCUGGUGUAGCGGUGAAAUGCGUAGAGAUCGGGUGGAACACCAGGGCGAAGGCGGCUGCCUGGCCCUGACCUGACGCUGAGGCGCGAGAGCGUGGGGAGCAAACCGG
rnacentral:rRNA from 1 species